rnacentral:rRNA from 1 species
GGCUCAGGAUGAACGCUAGCUACAGGCUUAACACAUGCAAGUCGAGGGGCAGCAUUAUCGAAGCUUGCUUUGAUAGAUGGCGACCGGCGCACGGGUGAGUAACGCGUAUCCAACCUUCCCCAUAGUCAGGAAUAGCCCGGCGAAAGUCGAAUUAAUGCCUGAUGUUUUCCACGGACGGCAUCUGAUGUGGAACAAAGAUUCAUCGCUAUGGGAUGGGGAUGCGUCUGAUUAGCUUGUUGGCGGGGUAACGGCCCACCAAGGCAACGAUCAGUAGGGGUUCUGAGAGGAAGGUCCCCCACAUUGGAACUGAGACACGGUCCAAACUCCUACGGGAGGCAGCAGUGAGGAAUAUUGGUCAAUGGGCGCAGGCCUGAACCAGCCAAGUCGCGUGAGGGAUGACUGCCCUACGGGUUGUAAACCUCUUUUGUUUGGGAAUAAAGUGCGGGACGCGUCCCGCAUUGCAUGUACCAUUUGAAUAAGGACCGGCUAAUUCCGUG